CUUCAAACAAACACAUCAGGGCAGAUCCCCUUCCUCUUCCACACGCACGAGCGGGCGCACCGCCGCUGCCGACGCCUUCCUCGCGGAGUUUGCGGCCGAAGGAUCGGUUGGGGCGCACCGGGUCGGCCUUCGGUGGGGCGCAGUGCGAGCUCUCGGCUCGGGGCAGGAGGCGGCUCGAUGAAGAGGAGCUGGGGCGCGACGCUCCUCUCCUGGUGUGGCGCACGAGGGAAGGAGGAGGGGAUCGAUCCAAGACGGGAGCUGAGGCUGGCGGCGCCCUUCACACAAGCCUCACCGGCGGUGCCUUCUACACAAGCCUCACCGGCGGUGCGGCGGGAGAGCUCCGACCCGUCCAUAGGUGCAGGGAUGCAGAUCCGCGUCGCGAGCCUGUACUAGGCCGAGGUUGAUGCGCCGGCGCAGGGGUCGCCAUCCAUCUUCGCCAGGCCUCCAGAGUACUCCAGCAACAGCCACUAGACGGCAGGUAAGCAUGCAUUGUAUGACCUUAGCUAAUUGCGUACAUACAAGUUUGGAUGAAUUCCAAGAGAUGGAGCACUCUAUCCAAAUAGGAGAAGUGUUAGUUUAAAAGGGUACAAUUUUACAAUGAUUUUCAUGGGGAGCAAAGUAAUCACCUGCGGCAAAUUUAAGUUCUAGAAUUGACAUAUAUUCAGUUCCUUUUUUUAUAAAGAGAGCUCCCUCUCCGAUUUUCAUUAGAAGAAAUCACCGUGCCUUGCAUAUAUUCAUAUAUGCAGUUCCUGGAAGAACAAAGAAGUUGCAUGUCCUUUUAUAUAGUCUAAAAAUCACAUUGAUCCUUGGAGCAUGAUUGGGACAAAUCGCACAUAUGUCCUGUACUGCACACACGUGAAGGCAAAGGAUUUUUCUGAAUGCCAUUGUUGUCCGGUACACAUUGUUUAUCAGUUAGUAAUUU
rnacentral:rRNA from 1 species